GACGAACGCUGGCGGCGUGCUUAACACAUGCAAGUCGAGCGGUAAGGCCCUUCGGGGUACACGAGCGGCGAACGGGUGAGUAACACGUGAGCAAUCUGCCCUCCACAUCGGGAUAACCCCCGGAAACGGGAGCUAAUACCGGAUACGACCACUUCAGGCAUCGAUGGUGGUGGAAAGUUCCGGGGGUGGAGGAUGAGCUCGCGGCCUAUCAGCUUGUUGGUGAGGUAACGGCCCACCAAGGCUUCGACGGGUAGCCGGCCUGAGAGGGUGACCGGCCACACUGGGACUGAGACACGGCCCAGACUCCUACGGGAGGCAGCAGUGGGGAAUAUUGGACAAUGGGCGAAAGCCUGAUCCAGCAACGCCGCGUGAGGGAUGACGGCCUUCGGGUUGUAAACCUCUUUCAGCGCAGACGAAGCGAAAGUGACGGUAUGCGCAGAAGAAGCACCGGCCAACUACGUGCCAGCAGCCGCCGCCGUAACAC
rnacentral:rRNA from 1 species